UGCAUUAUAUAGCUCUGCAAUGGGAUGGGAUCCGAAGCCCCCCGAGGGACAAUACACGCUCUCCCAUGCAACUCUUAUUUCGACACGUCUUCGUCGUGCAGAGUGGUAACAUGUGCCUCCAUAUAUCCUAGCUUGGGUACACGGGCUAGAUCCAAUCCCUUAGGCGGAUGGUGGCAUAUGGCAAAUCAGGAGGGG
rfam:Anopheles quadriannulatus strain QTAD4_A unplaced genomic scaffold supercont1.37, whole genome shotgun sequence.